GCUGUGAUGGCCGAGGGGUUAAGGCGUUGGACUUGGAAUCCAAUGGGGUUAUUCCCUGCGUAGGUUCGCAUCCUGCUCACAGCA